rnacentral:rRNA from 1 species
AGUGAACGCUGGCGGUAGGCCUAACACAUGCAAGUCGAACGGCAGCACAGUAAGAGCUUGCUCUUACGGGUGGCGAGUGGCGGACGGGUGAGGAAUACAUCGGAAUCUACUUUUUCGUGGGGGAUAACGUAGGGAAACUUACGCUAAUACCGCAUACGACCUACGGGUGAAAGCAGGGGAUCUUCGGACCUUGCGCGAUUGAAUGAGCCGAUGUCGGAUUAGCUAGUUGGCGGGGUAAAGGCCCACCAAGGCGACGAUCCGUAGCUGGUCUGAGAGGAUGAUCAGCCACACUGGGACUGAGAGACGGUCCAGACUCCUACGGGAGGCAGCAGUGGGGAAUGUUGGACAAUGGGCGCAAGCCUGAUCAAGCCAGACCGCGUGGGUGAAGAAGGCCUUCGGGUUGUAAAGCCCUUUUGUUGGGAAAGAAGAGUAGCGGGUUAAUGCCGCGCUGUUCUGACGGUACCCAAAGAAUAAGCACCGGCUAACUACGUG